rnacentral:rRNA from 1 species
CCUGAUGUAUGUUUAUAUUAGGUCUAACCUGCUCAAUGAAUAUUUAAAUAGCCGCAGUAUUUUGACUGUGCGAAGGUAGCAUAAUCAUUUGUCUUUUAAUUGAAGGCUUGUAUGAAUGGUUGGAUGAGGGAAUUGCUUUCUUUAUAUUAAUUUGUUGAAUUUAAUUUUUAAGUUAAAAAGCUUAAAUUUUUAAAUGGGACGAGAAGACCCUAUAGAAUUUUAUUUAUAUUUAAUUCUUUUAAUCUUUGGUUAAUAUUUUAUUUCUAUUAAUGUUAAAUUUUGUUGGGGUGACAGUAAGAUUUUUUUAACUCUUAUAAAUUAUUUAUUUACAAAUUUGUAUAUUAAAGAUCCUAUAUUAAGGAUAUUUAGAUUAAAUUACCUUAGGGAUAACAGCGUUAUUUCUCUGGAGAGUUCUUAUCGAUAGAGGAGUUUGCGACCUCGAUGUUGGAUUAAAAUUAGAUUUAAGUGCAGCAGCUUAAUUAUC